GCCACUUAAAAUCUUCACUUUCACAAACUUUAACUCAAUUUUACCCUUUGGCUGGAAGAAUGAAGUCCCAAUAUUCAAUUGAUUGCAAUGAUGAAGGAGCUUACUAUCAAGAAUCACAAGUGGAUGCUUCACUUCUAGACAUAAUCAAGAAUCCAAAGUCCAAUGAAUUAGUCCAACUCACACCUUACAAUUCAAAUGGCUCUU
rnacentral:misc_RNA from 1 species